AUACGGAGGGUCCAAGCGUUAUCCGGAUUCAUUGGGUUUAAAGGGUCCGCAGGCGGGAAUAUAAGUCAGUGGUGAAAGCCUACAGCUCAACUGUAGAACUGCCAUUGAUACUGUUUUUCUUGAGUAUAGAUGAAGUGGGCGGAAUAUAUCAUGUAGCGGUGAAAUGCAUAGAUAUGAUAUAGAACACCGAUUGCGAAGGCAGCUCACUAAACUAUUACUGACGCUCAGGGACGAAAGCGUGGGGAGCGAACAGGAUUAGAAACCCUAGUAGUCC
rnacentral:rRNA from 1 species